AAGUCGUAACAAGGUUUCCGUAGGUGAACCUGCGGAAGGAUCAUUAGUGAAUCUUCAAAGUCGGCUCGUCGGAUUGUGCUGGUGGAGACACAAGUGCACGUCUACGAGUCGCAAAAACCCACACACCUGUGCAUCUAUGACUCUGAGUGCCGCUUUGCAUGGCUCUUGAUUGGGCCUGGCGCUCGAGUACUUUCACACACACGCUCGAAUGUAACGGAAUGUCUUUGUUGUGCUUAACGUACAAACUGAAACAACUUUCAACAACGGAUCUCUUGGCUCUC
rnacentral:misc_RNA from 1 species